UACAGAGGGGGCAAGCGUUGUUCGGAAUUACUGGGCGUAAAGGGCGCGUAGGCGGCCUGUUAAGUCGAACGUGAAAAUCCCCCGGGCUCAACCCGGGAACUGCGUCCGAUACUGGCAGGCUUGAAUCCGGGAGAGGGAUGCGGAAUUCCAGGUGUAGCGGUGAAAUGCGUAGAUAUCUGGAGGAACACCGGUGGCGAAGGCGGCAUCCUGGACCGGCAUUGACGCUGAGGCGCGAAAGCCAGGGGGAGCAAAACGGGG
rnacentral:rRNA from 1 species